GAUGAACGCUGGCGGCGUGCCUAAUACAUGCAAGUCGAGCGAACAGACGAGGAGCUUGCUCCUCUGACGUUAGCGGCGGACGGGUGAGUAACACGUGGAUAACCUACCUAUAAGACUGGGAUAACUUCGGGAAACCGGAGCUAAUACCGGAUAAUAUAUUGAACCGCAUGGUUCAAUAGUGAAAGGCGGUUUUGCUGUCACUUAUAGAUGGAUCCGCGCCGCAUUAGCUAGUUGGUAAGGUAACGGCUUACCAAGGCAAUGAUGCGUAGCCGACCUGAGAGGGUGAUCGGCCACACUGGAACUGAGACACGGUCCAGACUCCUACGGGAGGCAGCAGUAGGGAAUCUUCCGCAAUGGGCGAAAGCCUGACGGAGCAACGCCGCGUGAGUGAUGAAGGUCUUCGGAUCGUAAAACUCUGUUAUUAGGGAAGAACAAAUGUGUAAGUAACUAUGCACGUCUUGACGGUACCUAAUCAGAAAGCCACGGCUAACUACGUG
rnacentral:rRNA from 1 species